UAGGGAAUAUUGGUAAUCUGCGAAAGCGGGAACCAGCAACGCCGCGUGUGCGAUGAAGGCCUUCGGGUUGUAAAGCACUUUUUGAGGGGAUGAGGUAGGACAGUACCUUCAGAAUAAGUCUCGGCUAACUACGUGCCAGCAGCCGCGGUAACACGUAGGAGACUAGCGUUAUCCGGAUUUACUGGGCGUAAAGCGCGUGUAGGCGGUUUGGUAAGUUGGAUGUGAAAGCUCCUGGCUCAACUGGGAGAGGUCGUUCAAUACUGUCAGACUAGAGAGUGGAAGAGGAAGGUGGAAUGCCGGGUGUAGUGGUGAAAUGCGUAGAUAUCCGGAGGAACACCAGUGGCGAAAGCGACCUUCUGGUCCAUUUCUGACGCUCAGACGCGAAAGCUAGGGUAGCAAACG
rnacentral:rRNA from 1 species